rnacentral:tRNA from 1 species
AGGGGUUUAUGUUAAUUUAAGACAAAGAGCCUUCAAAGCCCUAAGCGCGGGUUAGACUCCCGUAACCCCUG